AUUGAACGCUGGCGGCAGGCCUAACACAUGCAAGUCGAGCGGAUGAAGGGAGCUUGCUCCUGGAUUCAGCGGCGGACGGGUGAGUAAUGCCUAGGAAUCUGCCUGGUAGUGGGGGAUAACGUCCGGAAACGGGCGCUAAUACCGCAUACGUCCUGAGGGAGAAAGUUGGGGAUGUUCGGACCUCACGCUAUCAGAUGAGCCUAGGUCGGAUUAGCUAGUUGGUGGGGUAAAGGCCUACCAAGGCGACGAUCCGUAACUGGUCUGAGAGGAUGAUCAGUCACACUGGAACUGAGACACGGUCCAGACUCCUACGGGAGGCAGCAGUGGGGAAUAUUGGACAAUGGGCGAAAGCCUGAUCCAGCCAUGCCGCGUGUGUGAAGAAGGUCUUCGGAUUGUAAAGCACUUUAAGUUGGGAGGAAGGGCAGUAAGUUAAUACCUUGCUGUUUUGACGUUACCAACAGAAUAAGCACCGGCUAACUUCGUG
rnacentral:rRNA from 1 species